rnacentral:rRNA from 1 species
UACGGAGGGGGCUAGCGUUGUUCGGAAUUACUGGGCGUAAAGUGUGCGCAGGCGGCGCUGCAAGUCGAGUGUGAAAUCCCCGAGCUUAACUUGGGAAUUGCGCUCGAAACUACGGCGCUGGAGUAUGGCAGAGGAAGGUGGAAUUCCACGUGUAGCGGUGAAAUGCGCAGAUAUCAGGAGGGACACCAAUGGCGAAGGCAGCUCGCUGGGACGUGACUGACGCUGAGACGCGAAAGCGUGGGGAGCAAACAGG